UCAGGUUGCGGUUGCAGGGGAGUGGGCAGGGUUGGGAUAGCGCAAGUGAGCUGAACUUCUGCACUGGUGUAGUGUACUAUUCUCAAUUUGGUACUUUAGUGAAAAUUUAAUUUCGUUGAAUAAAAACGUGUCGUAUAUUUUAAUGGGACGUCAGUGAUGGCUGCUCAAUUCUCUCUUUGUCAAGCAAUUAACUGGUUUAUUGGAAUUUGAGUUUUCACAGGGGUUUUCCUUGUCUCCAUGGUUUCCUAUGGCAUCAUGUGGGAAUGUUUGAUUUCUGAAAGCAGGUAAGCCACUGACUAACGCACAUUGCGCCUAAUAUCCAUCCCACUGUGCGUGUGACAGCGGCUAACCAGCUUUUGGAUGUGUGCCUGCCAGUCUUCAUGAAUGUCCCACUGGAGGAUCACCAAAGGAUCAAAUAUAGUCACUGUUAUCUGACUGCAACAUCAAAGUGAUAGGUUUGAAUCCCACGUCACUUUUAAGCAUUUGCUUAAAUGUUAAUUUUGCUGUGACGUCAAACUACGUGCAGGCAGUCACGAUGAUGUACAUCAUCCAUACUGUACAUGGGCUGAAGGAAAUGUGUUAUGAAAUACUGAAUAAAUGGUUUAACCUGUUACUCUAGAUGUUA